rnacentral:lncRNA from 1 species
AAACUUUGAUAAUUUAUAAAUUAAAAUAAUCUAAUUUUCUAUUUAUCAAAAAAAAAAAGAAAUGACCUGUUUCGUAUAAUUUUAUUUUUAUAUUUAAAUUUUUUGUAUUUUGGAUAAACGAUCAGUUAAUGUGAUGAAUCCAUCUCUAAAAAUGGAUAUAAGGACUUUAUCGACAGAGAUUAAAAUAAAAAAAUCCUAAUACAAAGGGGGGAUUUUAGAUAUUUUAAGAUUUUUACGACAGGAUCUUUACAUCUAAAAAAUUUCGUCACUAAAAAAUAGUACUCAUGAAAAAUUAAACAACAAAAAAUUUUCAAGGAUAAUAGAAUAUACGACGAUAAUUCAAUAAAUUCAAUCAUAAUUAGCACAUAUUCGAAAAUCUUUUUCAUUUUCAUUGAUAAAAAGUCUUCUUUUC